AAGUCGUAACAAGGUUUCCGUAGGUGAACCUGCGGAAGGAUCAUUAACACGUAUCCAAACGUUAAACCCCCCCGUGAACCUACAUCUACUUCUCCUCUCACGAGACUGGUUGCAAUCCCUGGUAAAUCAUCGCCAAACAGUUUUGAUUCAGGGACUUCGAACACGUGAGGGUUAUGGCAGAGGAGAAUUACAAACAAGAGUUCGGCUAUCUGAGUAGGUGCCUCGAGCUUUCAAUGUGCAAGGAUGAAGAUUAAACAUGACGGAGUUGGAUGCAAUCCCUGGUAAAUCAUCGCCGAACAGUUUUGAUUCAGGGACCUCAUCACGCUACGAAUCGCUGUUUUUUUUGUCUUUGUAAAAGUUUGAAAGGUCCCGAGAACGCUGUAAGAUAGACUGCAUGUGUUAACAAUGGAUAUCUUGGUUCUC
rnacentral:misc_RNA from 1 species